GUUAUUACAACCUUUGCUAAUCUGCAUUCCUGGUUUCAAGGUAUUUAAGUCUUUGCUCGAAACAUGAAUAAACAAAUUUUGAAAGUUUGGUUAUGAUUUCACUAUCAGUUGACUUCCUUAGGUCCGCUGAUAGAGUUUGAGUGUUUAGAUUAAUUUCGUCAGAUGAAGCAUUCUCUAAUGAACUUCGAAGGUUUGCACGAGAUUGCUCAUAGCUAGGCUUUCCACCUCUCCUGAAUUGCAGAUUUUACAUUCAAAUGCAGCAUUCAAAUGCUGGUAUCAUCUGCAAAAAGCAAACACUCUGCCAACUCCGUAGGAUUAGGGAGAUCAUUUAUAUAAAGUAGGAAAAAUAAAGGGCCUAAUAUUGAACCCUGAGGAACCCCGCACUUAAUAAUCCGUUCGAUGGAAUCGGUCUCAUUGAACUGGACAAAUU